rnacentral:lncRNA from 1 species
AGGCAUUACAUUCCAUAUCAAAUUUUACCAACAUGCUGUUCUAUAAAUUCAUAUUUUCUGUUCCAUGCUAAAAAGCCCACUCUGCCAUAAUUACUUUUAGCAAACAGUACCUGGAAUAUAAAAAAGAUUAACUCAGUGUUGGCAAACUUUCUCCUGACAUGUAGGAGAACAAUUAAAAAAAAUGUCUAGGGGUUAAUUUUCUUCAGCUAAUGAGCAAAAGAAAAGCCCCAAUACAAUGGUAUUUCACUUAACAGUGGCUCAUCACUACAUUAAGCAGAAAUAAAUCUACUUGCUACUGCACUAUUUAGGGCAGGUUUGCCAAAUGCCUAUCUUUAAGAGCUAGGUCAACUUCCAAGAAAACUGUACAGAAACAUUCAGUUGUUAACAAAAAUUUAAUAUAAAAUUAUUCAGUUAAGUUAUUGUUAAUUUAGAAAAAAAAACAUGUAUUAAUCACCCAUAAGAACAACUUUUAUUUUAAUAAAUAACAGUGGGCUUACCAAAGGGAAGGGAUUUUAAUGUGUCAAGUUUUAUGCAUAUUGGUAAUAAACCUUAAGGAGGUGAAACCAACUAUUCAAUAUAACCCAUUAGGUCCUAAAAAUAAAACUAUAAUACUUUAAUAAAACUUAAAAAAAUAUUUUCCAAAAGAAAAUAAUUCACUCCUUGACCAUGCUUAUUUAUUCAGAGUACCAGCAAUUUCAGUUAAGUGCUUCAUUUUUCCUGCAAAUCUGAUGUUGCACAAGGGAAUAUACACAUUUUCAUAUUAUUACAACAUCGUCAAUAUCUCAGGCUAAUAAUAUUGUGGAUGCAACUGGUUUAUAACAAACACAAAGUCAAAAAUCAAUGCUAUCUAUGGCAAAUAGAAACAAAAGUAAACUUAAAAGAUGUUUUCUUUUGUUUCCCGUACUGACUUUAGUUGGACUUCAAAUGAAGGUAAUAAACUCUCCUGAAAUAACCUCUAUCUCUGCCGUGAAUCCACAGUAUAAAUAUGGUGAAUAAAGCUAAACUAUAAGAGCUAACUAUAUACUGAAUAACCAAAAUAAUCAAUUAUAACAACUAAUACUGCUCUGGAAGACCAAUCUAAUGAAAAAAGUAUCAUUAGAUGUGGUGGGAAAAUACAAAUCUGUACAAUCUAACAUCUAUAAACAGUAAAAUCAAAACAUCCAACUUCCUUAUAGAAAGUGUUUCAUCUAUGUAAUUAUAAAUGUUAAGGACUCUUGCAUUUUGUAAACACAAGAUGGGCUCACUUUGAUGAUACCAAUUUUAAGAUUUAUAAAAAUGUUUAAAAAAAUUUUUCCACAAAAGUUUAUACAGUUUAAAGCUAUACACCAAUCUAUAAAUCUCAGAAAAUGGAAAAAAAAAACUUUAUAAGAUCACAUGUAUAAAACAAGAAAUGAAAUGUGAUUUUAUUUAAGGCAAUACUGGGCUACUUCACAAAUCACCACCUCAAAUAUUUACACUGCUCCACACUACUAGUUUCUAUCACAUUCACAAAGGAUUUUUUUUUUAAUACCAAAUGUUUAAAAUCUUUGAUGUAGUAAAUUCUUUAUUCACAUUUCCAUUAUAUUUCAUGGAAUCAUAGUAACUAUAUCCAAUUAGAAGCACUGAAAAAAAAAACCUGUAGCUAUAGGAAACUGCUAAAGAAUCUAUAAUUUCACAUGAAUACCAUCCCAAAAUCCUGGAGGAUAAAUUUACAAAGCAGAGCAAGGUGUUGAUAUAAUGUGCCUACUUUGUGAAGAGUAAUUUUGAGAUCAUCUUGUAAAUAAAUGUUUUAUGUAAAAAUCAAUGAACUAUGGCAGAGUUUCUACUUUUAGUUCAAAAAAUUCUUAAUUUAAAACAAUAAAAGAACAGUUUUAAAAACUUGAUCACUUAGUUAAAAAUUAAAAUUCCAAAUAUAAAUGUGUCAUUUAAUAGUUUAGACUUACAUACUGCUGGUGGCAGCAAAUGAUUUACAAUAAUAAAUAUAUACAAAAAAGAUCUACAAACAAAGAGUACUGUUCUACAUGAGCAGUGACUUGGUGAAACAUAUCAAUCACACAGAUAAUUCAGUUUAGUUCAUGGAAGGGGCAACUGGCUGAUAGAAAUUUGAGGUGUAGCUCAAUUAUUUACAAUAACUGAAAUAUUGAUUCUGUUCAAGUCCCAUAGGGAUAAAAAAAAAAGUUUUACAUGACAAACGUCAUGUGUUUUUUUUUUUUUUUCUUUUUUUUUUUUUUUUUGGCC